UCCAGGGUAGCCUAGUGGACAUGGAAUCUGCCCGGUAAGCGGAAGAUUGUGGGUUCGGUUCCCGCCCCUGGAC
rnacentral:tRNA from 1 species